rnacentral:rRNA from 1 species
AUGCAGUCGAGCGAACAGACGAGGAGCUUGCUCCUCUGACGUUAGCGGCGGACGGGUGAGUAACACGUGGAUAACCUACCUAUAAGACUGGGAUAACUUCGGGAAACCGGAGCUAAUACCGGAUAAUAUAUUGAACCGCAUGGUUCAAUAGUGAAAGACGGUUUUGCUGUCACUUAUAGAUGGAUCCGCGCCGCAUUAGCUAGUUGGUAAGGUAACGGCUUACCAAGGCAACGAUGCGUAGCCGACCUGAGAGGGUGAUCGGCCACACUGGAACUGAGACACGGUCCAGACUCCUACGGGAGGCAGCAGUAGGGAAUCUUCCGCAAUGGGCGAAAGCCUGACGGAGCAACGCCGCGUGAGUGAUGAAGGUCUUCGGAUCGUAAAACUCUGUUAUUAGGGAAGAACAAAUGUGUAAGUAACUAUGCACGUCUUGACGGUACCUAAUCAGAAAGCCACGGCUAACUACGUGCCAGCAGCCGCGGUAAUACGUAGGUGGCAAGCGUUAUCCGGAAUUAUUGGGCGUAAAGCGCGCGUAGGCGGUUUUUUAAGUCUGAUGUGAAAGCCCACGGCUCAACCGUGGAGGGUCAUUGGAAACUGGAAAACUUGAGUGCAGAAGAGGAAAGUGGAAUUCCAUGUGUAGCGGUGAAAU